rnacentral:rRNA from 1 species
UUUUUUCAGGUUGACCUCGGAUCAGGUAGGGAUACCCGCUGAACUUAAGCAUAUCAAAAAGCCG